rnacentral:rRNA from 2 species
UACGAAGGGGGCUAGCGUUGUUCGGAAUCACUGGGCGUAAAGCGCACGUAGGCGGAUUGUUAAGUCGGGGGUGAAAUCCUGAGGCUCAACCUCAGAACUGCCUCCGAUACUGGCAAUCUCGAGUUCGGAAGAGGUUGGUGGAACAGCUAGUGUAGAGGUGAAAUUCGUAGAUAUUAGCUAGAACACCAGUGGCGAAGGCGGCCAACUGGUCCGACACUGACGCUGAGGUGCGAAAGCGUGGGGAGCAAACAGG